rnacentral:lncRNA from 1 species
AACAACUUUCUACUGUUGGGAGUCAGGAGUCCAUGGAGGACAGCCUGUCACUAAUGGCAGAUUUUCCUUACAGUGUUCAUGGGCAAAAGCAACUUCACAGAAGAAAAAAUCGCGCAGAUCAAGUCUAAAGAAAAUCUCUCCAGUGUAAAGAAGGAGCAGACUUAAAACUCUGGAUUGAAGUUCAGUAACUUUCACUGUGGUGGUGGCUGCAGUAAGGGGACAGAUCUGAAAAGGAGCGGAUUCCUUUGUGUCUUCAGCUCUUUGAAUUUUUUAUUUAUUGUUUAUCUUUUCUGCAUAUAUAUGCUAUUUUAAAAUAUUAAUUGGAACUGCCAAUUACAAAAUAAUAUCGAGAAAAGCUUUUCUUGGUCUAAAGAUGUGAACAGGCUUGAAUGUGAACAGGAAGGUAUCUUUUAGCAGCACUUGGAGCCGGUCUUGGGAGGUGGUGCAGCUUGGAGAACUCUGAUACACAUGCUUGGGUAGAUGGUUUAAAGAUUUGGCUCUGAGAAGAAUGUUAUUUAAUAGACAUAAUUCUAAGAUUGCUUUUUCAUUAAGGCAGAAAAAUACAUGAUCUUUAUGAGUGAAAAAGCAGGGAAAUGAGAGAAAGGAGAAACAGAAUCCUGUAGCUUGACUCUCUGUAAGCAAGAAGUAGGAGCAAACUAAGGGAAAUACUUGGUCCAUUUAGAUAGCAGUUUACUCACACUCAGUGACCUGCUGGCCUCCACCUCUGCUGAGGGAAGGGGCUUUGCUCCAGUCUCUAUGGCACUGAGGGUUGUUCCGGUCCAUGGAAGAGUCAUUCUAGGAAGCCUCGUGUUCCUAGGGAUACAGGGCCGGUCUUUGAGACAGGAAGCUUCUGGCUGUGAACAGUGGAGGAAGGAGUGAUUUUCUUGUGAAAACUUUGGCUGCUGUCUGCAUGAGCUCUGCUCUGACUUUGCACGUUAGUGUGCCUUUCCCUUUAUGCAGCCUUUUCCAGCUGUACAGCAGAAACUUGCCUAGUUCAGAAAACGUGCCAGAGGGUGGCUUCAGAGGGAAGAUGAUCUUGUGUGAUCAUUCUCUGCAUUUGAACUGUUGAAUAGAGAAAUCCAGCUAGAGGGAUUCUUACCGCCUUACUUGAAAUCUAUGUGUUUGUAACCCCUUAUCUCUGGAAUUACAUUACAAAAAACAAACAAAACAAACAAAAAACCAAAAAACUGGAAUCUCAGGCUGAGAAUAAGAAGACUGAGUAAAAGUGAAGAGAACAGCUUCUCCAUCAUCACUACUAACAGCUCUUUCUCCAAAGGAUUAACAUGUUUUCCCCUUAAGGACUUGAGAAUGAGAACGGACCCCAUGUGUUUUUAGGCAUUACCUUUCUUAGCAGACUGAUGUUAUCUUUUAUAGAGUUUUUUCACUAUGCAUUUGGUGGAUCUUUAUAAGCUAUUGACCUAAUUGGACUCUAGAUCAGUUGUAGCUAAAGGAGAAAAACAAACCAACAGAACCUAACCACAAAAAAUAAGCCAAU